AGUGAUUAGAGUUUGAUCCUGGCUCAGGACGAACGCUGGCGGCGUGCUUAACACAUGCAAGUCGAACGGUCUACCUCGACAGAAACCUUCGGGUUGAAGACGAGAUCUAGAUAGUGGCGGACGGGUGAGUAACACGUGAAUAAUCUAUCCUCAAGUUUGGGAUAACCUGGCGAAAGUCGGGCUAAUCCGAGGUAAGCUGAGAGUGUGGCAUCACACAAUCAGAAAAGGUGGCAUUGCCAUCGUUUGAGGAGGAGUUCGUGGUAGAUUAGCUAGCUGGUGAGGUAACGGCUCACCAGGGCAACAAUCUAUAGCUGGUCUGAGAGGACGAUCAGUCACACUGGAACUGAGACACGGCCCAGACUCCUACGGGAGGCAGCAGUGGGGAAUAUUGCACAAUGGGCGAAAGCCUGAUGCAGCGACGCCACGUGAGGGAUGACGGCCUUCGGGUUGUAAACCUCUUUCAGCAGGGAAGAAGCGAAAGUGACGGUACCUGCAGAAGAAGCGCCGGCUAACUACGUGCCAGCAGCCGCGGUAAUACGUAAGGCGCCAGCGUUGUCCCGAAUUAUUGGGCGUAAAGAGCUCGUAGGCGGCUUGUCACGUCGGUUGUGGAAGCCCGGGGCUUAACCCCGGGUCUGCAGUCGAUACGGGCAGGCUAGAGUUCGGUAGGGGAGAUCGGAAUUCCUGGUGUAGCGGUGAAAUGCGCAGAUAUCAGGAGGAACACCGGUGGCGAAGGCGGAUCUCUGGGCCGAUACUGACGCUGAGGAGCGAAAGCGUGGGGAGCGAACAGGAUUAGAUACCCUGGUAGUCCACGCCGUAAACGGUGGGCACUAGGUGUGGGCAACAUUCCACGUUGUCCGUGCCGCAGCUAACGCAUUAAGUGCCCCGCCUGGGGAGUACGGCCGCAAGGCUAAAACUCAAAGGAAUUGACGGGGGCCCGCACAAGCGGCGGAGCAUGUGGCUUAAUUCGACGCAACGCGAAGAACCUUACCAAGGCUUGACAUACACCGGAAACGUCUGGAGACAGGCGCCCCCUUGUGGUCGGUGUACAGGUGGUGCAUGGCUGUCGUCAGCUCGUGUCGUGAGAUGUUGGGUUAAGUCCCGCAACGAGCGCA
rnacentral:rRNA from 1 species